UACGUAGGGUGCGAGCGUUGUCCGGAAUUAUUGGGCGUAAAGAGCUCGUAGGCGGUUUGUCGCGUCGGCCGUGAAAACUGGAGGCUUAACCUUCAGCUUGCGGUCGAUACGGGCAGACUGGAGUACUGCAGGGGAGACUGGAAUUCCUGGUGUAGCGGUGGAAUGCGCAGAUAUCAGGAGGAACACCGGUGGCGAAGGCGGGUCUCUGGGCAGUAACUGACGCUGAGGAGCGAAAGCGUGGGGAGCGAACAGG
rnacentral:rRNA from 1 species